ensembl:lncRNA
CAAAUUUCUACAGCAGUUAUGUAGUUGAGUAAAUUUUUUUUAAUGAAAUGCUUAUGAGAUGUGAUUUAACAGUGCUGACAUUGAAAAAUAGCUCCUGUUCUUUCCCUUGUUUUAUGUAAGUGGGAGUUUUAAGGCAGAUAUGUUUUUGCAUGGUGUAGCCUUUUUUUUUUCUUUAUUGGUCAUUUCUUAACCAGGACUCAUGUGUCCCUAUCUCUUAAGAGGUCCAGAGUCUUGGAAAGUCCACAGUACUUUGAAAGCUUGAUGUUUCCUUACUGCCACCAAAGGAGUGUAGGAAAAAUCUGAAAUCCCCCAGAUUGGAAAAUAUCCUGUGAAUACACAUUUUUCUGACUGCUCCAUGUCAUCAGAUGUCUUUAUCUUCAGCUGCAGUUCUCUGAGAGAUACUGGGGUAUGCAGGAUGCAGAAGAAGGUCUUAGUUUCACUGCACAGUUUGACAGUGUCAUCCUCCAGAGGCACUUACAGCUUUAUAUGUUUACUUUCCACCUUUCCCACCCUUUGUGGGGCAUUGUCACCCAACAGAAGUCUGGAAAAAAGAAGGUCAUUGAAGGCCAGAUGGAAGAUUUCCCUGAUAUCGGUAGCAGCAAGCAUAAUAAGAGACUUGGCUUUAACUUCUGCAGUACAGCAGAGGAACCUUCUGAAAUGGAGAUGGUUUUAGCAGCACAAGAAUUGUCCUUGGCAUGCAAGCCCAUGAACUAUACUCACUCUUUUUGGUAUGAUUGAGAAGAAACUGGAGAUGGAAGCAUACUCUGUGACCUGGAACAGCUGGUGGUACCAUGAAAGGAAGUGAUAUUGGGACUCAUAGCUGUUGGAGUGGGUUUGUACUGAGGCCAGAGCUGCUGUGCAGAUCUGCUCACAAGCUGGAAAAACAACCAGUGGGCCUAUUAUUACUGUUAUUAUUGGAGAGGGUCCAAACUUUCCUAUAGCAGGUUGGAAAAAGUUUGCACUUUGUGGUGAAUGGCAGCAAGUGAACAGAGGGCUCCUCUAAACGUUUAUUGCCUGUGCCUGGGCAGUACACUGGAAGGACUCAGAUUUCUUGAGGGAAGAAAUGAAACAUGGGGGAAGGCAGAGGGCUGGUGAGAAAGGGGAUGAGAAGAUCUUUACCUCCAUAAGUGCCGCAAAGUAUGAAAACUGGCCCAGAAGAUACAGGGUUUUCUCCCAGAAAUGUUUUGUUUUUAAUUCAUGAGUAAGUUGGAAGAAAUAACUAAAAAGGCUGAGAAGACAGAAAAGGACCAAUAGGAGGAAAUCAGGAGCAUGCCAAGUGUAUAGUGACAUUUUACACAGUGCUGCUCUACACUGUUCUCCAGGCUGGAGAAGGGCCUGGUGAAGAGCUUGAGUGCAGCCAGGUUUUACUCAAAGGGGCAGGAGACCCACUGUCUCCAGACUUCUCAGCCCAGAGGAGCCACUGGGUACAACAAAAGCAUAGUAACUCCAGGUUCCACAGUGUCGUGAGAAGGGUAACCCAGGUAUUUCAUGAGCUGCUUGAAAUAUUUGGAGAUUGAAUAGAAUGACUGGAUAAAAACCAAACUACAAGACCAGCUGGUUCACUGAAAGGCUGCUACUUUUACUCAUUCCACUAACGCAGUGGCUGAAAAAAUGACUGAAAAUUGUAGUCAUUUUUCAAAAUGACUGAUUUCACAAGCAACUCAUCUGUCUGGCUGUACCACGAAUAGGAAAUUGCACUGAGACCAUUUCUGCAAAGGAUCUCCAUUAAAGCACGAAGAACAACAGUUUGAUUGUAACUGCUGUAAAACAAAGAGCUGAGUGAAGUCUUGGAGUGCUGUUGCUCUGGGCGAGCUUUGGAGCAAAGAACAAUUUAAUGCAGAAUCUUAUGGCCAAAUACUGACAGGGAGAUAGAAAGAUGCCUAAAUUUCAUUUACCUGCCACAAAGCUGACUGUAUUAUAUGAUUAACAACAACAACAACAAAAAUUGUCUGACAUGCUGUGUGCUCUGACAGAACUGAAACCUGCAAGGGAAAGAUGUGUGGAAAAGCAGAGUUUUAUGUUUAGGUUUGUCAGUGGUAAGAAUGACUUUUCCAUAUCAUCUCCUUUAAGGUAAAACUUUGAAGAUCUAAUUUUCUAAGGUCCUCUGUAAGAGUAAGUGUGGCCAUGCUGAUAUCAACAGCUUGGCUUGGAACAGCAAUGUAUUGCUGCACAGAUCUCCUGGUUGCUCCUUUCUUGUACUUGGAUUUGGUUUGCAAUGUAUUAAACUAGGAACAAGGGGAAGCUUUGAUUUAUUGAUCUCUUCCUAUUGCACAGAAUUACUUGCCAAUAUAGAUAAAAUCUGUGAGGCCCUAGAAAGACCCUCCUGCACACACUAGUGUUACACUGGUCUACUCUCCCUAGCCUCACUGGAAAUGAAUGAAACUUCACCUUAAGAGCUUAUUUGCAAAAGGUGUGGGUAACUUUGAGAUACCUUCUGUUUGAAAGCAACUGUAACCUGUUAAGCAUGACAAUAUAUUUGUAAUUUUCAUACUCUUUUGCUGUUCCUGUACUUCUGAAUUCUCUGUGACCUUGCAAGCUAUGUCUGCACUUGUGGAGAGAGUCAUACAAACAGGCUAUAGAUGCAUGGCUAGUCUGCUUAGGAGCCUGAUAAACUAGCCUCUGUGAACUCUGUACUACCUCAACUGCUUUUUGGUUGUUUUGUAGGAUAAAGAACCUUAAUGAAAAGCUUAUUCCAGAGACUUGUGACUACCCCACUGUCUGUGUUGUCAGCACAACCCCGUGGGAAUGCUCUCAGGUUUUGGUCCUAAGCAGAGCAGAACUGAUCCUCUGAGGAAACAACUAAGAAAGGAAAGCAGACAUGAUGCUGCAGCAAUACUUGGAGAUGUCAUUAUCUGUGUGCAAUUAAGUGGUAUGAAUAUUUAUCACGGGGGUGGAAAUUGCAUGUUCUGUAGCUCCAAAACCAGUGGCACACAUCUGAAUUUUGCAUACACUUUCAUAAGAGACUUUCAUGCAUAAGUGGAGCAGAGCUCUCCACACCUUCAAAUCAGAUUUCUCAUUUGUAUUCACUAUAUAAAUACCACAUAGAAAUUUGGACACAGCUGUCUCAUGGUCAUUUGAUUCAGCCAUUCUUAUGACCUGGAACAGUACAAACAAAUGAAGACACAAAAUUAGUUGUAGUCACACCACAGUUUGAGCACAGGCUAGUUACAAUAACUCCACUAAAUUGUUCUGGAUCCAGAGCAACAACAUUAUAUUACUUACCUUACAUUCUGAUGAAUACCUUAUAUUUUUAUGAUCUGUUUAUGCUAAUAAUCGUGGUAUUUUGUUUUCAUAACGUUUGUAGUCAGUUGCUUGGCUACAUGAUCUUGGGUGUCGUCUCUACAGUUGACUAGGAGAUACAACUCCUGAUUUAUUCUGAGAAUCUGAGCCACUUUUCAGUGCCACUCCAUCUCAGGAAACAUUUUUUCCAGAGAUUCCAAGGAGUAUAUAGAGUGGCAGAGACUGCUAAGAAGCAUAAUUUAUCUUUUUGUUAGAGGAGUUGGCAAAGGAUCCAGUCCAUUCUAUGAAAAAUGUAAACAUUUCAAAUUUUCUUUUUGGUCCCACUUGGGCAAAAUAACACUUUGGAGUGGCCCACAAAAAUAUCAGAAAGACCUUACAAAACUGAUGUACGUGUCAUUUUCAUUCCUCCUAUCUACAGAAAUCCACCAGGUGCUUUGCAUGCACAUUUAUGGUUUUUUUAGAGAAAGAAUCAAAUGGUUAUUUACAUUCAUGUGAAAUGUUUUCAUUUCCCUGAAUCACCACGUUCUAACAGAAUAGUUUUCUAACAGAAAAUUCUCAACAAUUUUUACUCUUUGUUCCCAAAUACUCCUUAUCAGUGUUUAUUGAACAUUCUUGUCCCGUACACCUUUGGAAAUCCUAUUAUUUUUCUUGGUCUGGUACUUGGUUAUGAUUUAGGAUGUUUUUCUAGCUCACACAGCUUACCAACUCAAACACUGUGAAAAAUAUGUUGUUUGAACCAGUCUGAAUCUCUGGAUUUCUAAUCCUGUUGGUUGAGUGUAUUGCACUUUCUUUCUCUAAGCCUCUCUCACACUUCAUUUGGUAGCAAGGCAAUAGCAUUCCUUUUUAAGCAAUUAGAAAUUAAUCACAAAUUUUGUAUACUUAUUGUCGGUUAAUUACCUGUUGAUAUUGCACAAGCAUGAAAAGGCCAGUUCUAACAAUAUUCACCAGAAAGUCAUGUUGAAUAGUUAACAAGAUACAAGAAAAACUUCUACUGCUGUUCUGUGGUCUUUGUCCAGUCUUUGCUGUCAAGUAUUUUCCAAUACCAAGUCUUGGUUGUUAGAUUAAAAAACAGACCUUGCUGUUGCCUCCCCCCC